rnacentral:rRNA from 1 species
GGGUUGUGAGGUUAAGCGACUAAGCGUACACGGUGGAUGCCCUGGCAGUCAGAGGCGAUGAAGGACGUGCUAAUCUGCGAAAAGCGUCGGUAAGGUGAUAUGAACCGUUAUAACCGGCGAUGUCCGAAUGGGGAAACCCAGUGUGAUUCGUCACACUAUCGUUAACUGAAUACAUAGGUUAACGAGGCGAACCGGGGGAACUGAAACAUCUAAGUACCCCGAGGAAAAGAAAUCAACCGAGAUUCCCCCAGUAGCGGCGAGCGAACGGGGAGCAGCCCAGAGUCUGAAUCAGCUUGUGUGUUAGUGGAACGGUCUGGAAAGUCCGACGGUACAGGGUGAUAGUCCCGUACACCAAAAUGCACAGGCUGUGAACUCGAAGAGUAGGGCGGGACACGUGGUAUCCUGUCUGAAUAUGGGGGGACCAUCCUCCAAGGCUAAAUACUCCUGACUGACCGAUAGUGAACCAGUACCGUGAGGGAAAGGCGAAAAGAACCCCGGCGAGGGGAGUGAAAAAGAACCUGAAACCGUGUACGUACAAGCAGUGGGAGCACCUUCGGGUGUGACUGCGUACCUUUUGUAUAAUGGGUCAGCGACUUAUAUUCUGUAGCAAGGUUAACCGUAUAGGGGAGCCGCAGGGAAACCGAGUCUUAACUGGGCGUUAAGUUGCAGGGUAUAGACCCGAAACCCGGUGAUCUAGCCAUGGGCAGGUUGAAGGUUGGGUAACACUAACUGGAGGACCGAACCGACUAAUGUUGAAAAAUUAGCGGAUGACUUGUGGCUGGGGGUGAAAGGCCAAUCAAACCGGGAGAUAGCUGGUUCUCCCCGAAAGCUAUUUAGGUAGCGCCUCGUGAACUCAUCUUCGGGGGUAGAGCACUGUUUCGGCUAGGGGGUCAUCCCGACUUACCAACCCGAUGCAAACUACGAAUACCGAAGAAUGUUAUCACGGGAGACACACGGCGGGUGCUAACGUCCGUCGUGAAGAGGGAAACAACCCAGACCGCCAGCUAAGGUCCCAAAGUCAUGGUUAAGUGGGAAACGAUGUGGGAAGGCACAGACAGCCAGGAUGUUGGCUUAGAAGCAGCCAUCAUUUAAAGAAAGCGUAAUAGCUCACUGGUCGAGUCGGCCUGCGCGGAAGAUGUAACGGGGCUAAACCAUGCACCGAAGCUGCGGCAGCGACACUAUGUGUUGUUGGGUAGGGGAGCGUUCUGUAAGCCUGCGAAGGUGACCUGUGAGGGUUGCUGGAGGUAUCAGAAGUGCGAAUGCUGACAUAAGUAACGAUAAAGCGGGUGAAAAGCCCGCUCGCCGGAAGACCAAGGGUUCCUGUCCAACGUUAAUCGGGGCAGGGUGAGUCGACCCCUAAGGCGAGGCCGAAAGGCGUAGUCGAUGGGAAACAGGUUAAUAUUCCUGUACUUGGUGUUACUGCGAAGGGGGGACGGAGAAGGCUAUGUUAGCCGGGCGACGGUUGUCCCGGUUUAAGCAUGUAGGCUGAUUGUCCAGGCAAAUCCGGAUAAUCAAGGCUGAGGUGUGAUGACGAGGCACUACGGUGCUGAAGUAACAAAUGCCCUGCUUCCAGGAAAAGCCUCUAAGCAUCAGGUAACAUCAAAUCGUACCCCAAACCGACACAGGUGGUCAGGUAGAGAAUACCAAGGCGCUUGAGAGAACUCGGGUGAAGGAACUAGGCAAAAUGGUGCCGUAACUUCGGGAGAAGGCACGCUGGUGUGUAGGUGAAGCCCCUGCGGGUGGAGCUGAGACCAGUCGAAGAUACCAGCUGGCUGCAACUGUUUAUUAAAAACACAGCACUGUGCAAACACGAAAGUGGACGUAUACGGUGUGACGCCUGCCCGGUGCCGGAAGGUUAAUUGAUGGGGUUAUCCGUAAGGAGAAGCUCUUGAUCGAAGCCCCGGUAAACGGCGGCCGUAACUAUAACGGUCCUAAGGUAGCGAAAUUCCUUGUCGGGUAAGUUCCGACCUGCACGAAUGGCGUAAUGAUGGCCAGGCUGUCUCCACCCGAGACUCAGUGAAAUUGAACUCGCUGUGAAGAUGCAGUGUACCCGCGGCAAGACGGAAAGACCCCGUGAACCUUUACUAUAGCUUGACACUGAACAUUGAGCCUUGAUGUGUAGGAUAGGUGGGAGGCUUUGAAGCGUGGACGCCAGUCUGCGUGGAGCCAACCUUGAAAUACCACCCUUUAAUGUUUGAUGUUCUAACGUUGGCCCCUUACCGGGGUUGCGGACAGUGUCUGGUGGGUAGUUUGACUGGGGCGGUCUCCUCCCAAAGCGUAACGGAGGAGCACGAAGGUUAGCUAAUCCUGGUCGGACAUCAGGAGGUUAGUGCAAUGGCAUAAGCUAGCUUGACUGCGAGCGUGACGGCGCGAGCAGGUGCGAAAGCAGGUCAUAGUGAUCCGGUGGUUCUGAAUGGAAGGGCCAUCGCUCAACGGAUAAAAGGUACUCCGGGGAUAACAGGCUGAUACCGCCCAAGAGUUCAUAUCGACGGCGGUGUUUGGCACCUCGAUGUCGGCUCAUCACAUCCUGGGGCUGAAGUAGGUCCCAAGGGUAUGGCUGUUCGCCAUUUAAAGUGGUACGCGAGCUGGGUUUAGAACGUCGUGAGACAGUUCGGUCCCUAUCUGCCGUGGGCGCUGGAGAAUUGAGGGGGGCUGCUCCUAGUACGAGAGGACCGGAGUGGACGCAUCACUGGUGUUCGGGUUGUCAUGCCAAUGGCACUGCCCGGUAGCUAAAUGCGGAAGAGAUAAGUGCUGAAAGCAUCUAAGCACGAAACUUGCCCCGAGAUGAGUUCUCCCUGAGACUUUAAGUCUCCUGAAGGAACGUUGGACGUUGAUAGGCCGGGUGUGUAAGCGCAGCGAUGCGUUGAGCUAACCGGUACUAAUGAACCGUGAGGCUUAACCUUACAACGCCGAAG